rnacentral:lncRNA from 1 species
CUCUGCCUCUGCCUCUCUGCAGCCCCCCAGCCUCUAUGCACCAUCACUGUCACAGAGUCAAUUCCCUGGAAUAAUCACAUUUUCUGGCCGGCUCCCUCCUCCUCGCCAACACGAUUCCAGGAAACCCCAAUCAGCCAGGCCCCAGGAGGCUUCUCCAGAGCUUCAGGAGGCUUGGGGGGAAGGGCCCACACCCAGAGCUUUCUGGGGGCCAGACAACACAGUUCCUGGAAGGGGCAGUGAAAGGGUGAAAGAAAAGAGGGAGGUUUAGUGACCAUGUCUACAUUCAGUUGGAACUGAAUUUUGGCCUCUGCUGUCCCUACCAGACCAAUCCCCCAAGCUUUGCUGUCAUACCUGAGAACCCCAGCCAUCCUUAACCCAGUUCCUGAAGAGACAGCACAGAUUCUCCCUUGGAGAGGUUCAGGGAGAAGGCCCAAAGGAAGGGAUCGGUCCAUGGUGCGGCUUACAGUGGCACCAGGCAUAUUUGGAGAGAUUGACUCACGCAGAAAGGCUUCAAUAAACAAGGAGAGUCUGGAAGUGAAGAAUGCGGCAUUAGGAGUUGGACAGACCUUUUUUUCAAUCCUGGAUCUGCCACAUGGCGGCUGUCAUAACGCCGCUGAGCUUUAUCUGUAAAACGGGAACACUUCCACGGGCUGCCGUAAGGAUGAAUUGCAGGGGUAAUUCAUGGAACAUGGUGAUCACUUUUAUUGAAAGUUAUAGGACUCCAUAAAGCAGAACAUAACACAGCCAUUAGAAGAAUAUGGUGUUGGAAACAGUUAUUGGCACGGAGAGGUGUUCAGAUGCUGGGGAUAAGAUGGAAGGAGCCCAGGAGUUAAAUUUUUGAAAAUUUUGAAAAAAGCUACCAGGGUUCUUAGCCUGGAGUCCUUGCCCAUGAAUGGCUUCAUGUAGUUCAUGAAUGCCGAGAAAUUAUCUACAGAAUUUAGUGAGAAUGUUCAUUUUUCUGGGGAAAAGGGUCAAUGUCAUCACAUUUUCAAAGUGAUGUAGUACAUAUAAAAGGUAAAAAACAAGUGAUGUUUAUAUAGCAUGACUCAAUUUUUGCACUAAAAAAAGUAACCAGCUGGGUGUGGUGGCUCACACUUCUAAUCGUAGCACUUUGGGAGACUGAGGCAGGAGGAUCGCUUGAGCCUAGGAGUUGGAGACCAGAUGGGCAACAUGGCGAAAUACCGUCUCUACCCCAAAAAUACAAAAAUUAGCUGGGCGCGGUGGUGCAUCCCAGCUACUUGGGAGGCUGAGGUGAGGAUGGCUUGAGCCUGGGAGGCGGAGGUUGCUGUAAGCUGAGAUAUCUCCACUGCACUC